UACGUAGGGUGCGAGCGUUAAUCGGAAUUACUGGGCGUAAAGGGCGCGUAGGCGGCCUUCUAAGUCGAACGUGAAAUCCCCGGGCUCAACCCGGGAACUGCGUCCGAUACUGGAAGGCUUGAAUCCGGGAGAGGGAUGCGGAAUUCCAGGUGUAGCGGUGAAAUGCGUAGAUAUCUGGAGGAACACCGGUGGCGAAGGCGGCAUCCUGGACCGGCAUUGACGCUGAGGCGCGAAAGCUAGGGGAGCAAACGGG
rnacentral:rRNA from 1 species